rnacentral:rRNA from 1 species
ACGAACGCUGGCGGCGUGCCUAACACAUGCAAGUCGAGCGGAGACAGUGAGUAGCUUGCUAUGAGCUGUUUUAGCGGCGGACGGGUGAGUAACGCGUGAGCAACCUUUCCCAGACAGGGGAAUAACACACCGAAAGGUGUACUAAUACCGCAUAAGACCACGGAAUCACAUGGUUCUGAGGUAAAAGAUUUAUCGGUUUGGGGUGGGCUCGCGUCCGAUUAGGUAGUUGGUGAGGUAACGGCCCACCAAGCCGACGAUCGGUAGCCGACCUGAGAGGGUGAUCGGCCACAUUGGGACUGAGACACGGCCCAAACUCCUACGGGAGGCAGCAGUGGGGAAUAUUGGGCAAUGGAGGAAACUCUGACCCAGCAACGCCGCGUGGAGGAAGAAGGUUUUCGGAUCGUAAACUCCUGUCCUUGGAGACGAGUAGAAGACGGUAUCCAAGGAGGAAGCCCCGGCUAACUACGUGCCAGCAGCCGCGGUAAUACGUAGGGGGCAAGCGUUGUCCGGAAUAAUUGGGCGUAAAGGGCGCGUAGGCGGCUCGGUAAGUCUGGAGUGAAAGUCCUGCUUUUAAGGUGGGAAUUGCUUUGGAUACUGUCGGGCUUGAGUGCAGGAGAGGUUAGUGGAAUUCCCAGUGUAGCGGUGAAAUGCGUAGAGAUUGGGAGGAACACCAGUGGCGAAGGCGACUAACUGGACUGUAACUGACGCUGAGGCGCGAAAGUGUGGGGAGCAAACAGGAUUAGAUACCCUGGUAGUCCACACAGUAAACGAUGAAUACUCGCUGUUUGCGAUAUACGGUAAGCGGCCAAGCGAAAGCGUUAAGUAUUCCACCUGGGGAGUACGUUCGCAAGAAUGAAACUCAAAGGAAUUGACGGGGGCCCGCACAAGCAGCGGAGCAUGUGGUUUAAUUCGACGCAACGCGAAGAACCUUACCAGGUCUUGACAUCCACUUAAACUUACAGAGAUGUAAGGUGUGCUUGCACAAAGUGAGACAGGUGGUGCAUGGUUGUCGUCAGCUCGUGUCGUGAGAUGUUGGGUUAAGUCCCGCAACGAGCGCAACCCUUAUCUUCAGUUACUAACGCGUGAGGGUGAGGACUCUGAAGAGACUGCCGGGGACAACUCGGAGGAAGGUGGGGACGACGUCAAAUCAUCAUGCCCCUUAUGACCUGGGCUACACACGUGCUACAAUGGCCACGACAGAGAGAAGCGAAAUCGUAAGGUAGAGCGGAACUCAAAAAAGUGGUCCCAGUUCGGAUUGUGGGCUGCAACCCGCCCACAUGAAGUCGGAGUUGCUAGUAAUCGCGGAUCAGCAUGCCGCGGUGAAUACGUUCCCGGGCCUUGUACACACCGCCCGUCACACCAUGGGAGUUGGGAGUGCCCAAAGCCGGUGAGGCAACCGCAAGGAGCCAGCCGUCUAAGGCAAGACCAAUGACUGGGGUG